UACGUAGGGUGCAAGCGUUAAUCGGAAUUACUGGGCGUAAAGCGUGCGCAGGCGGUUGUGCAAGCCAGAUGUGAAAUCCCCGGGCUCAACCUGGGAACUGCAUUUGUGACUGCAUGGCUAGAGUACGGUAGAGGGGGAUGGAAUUCCGCGUGUAGCAGUGAAAUGCGUAGAUAUGCGGAGGAACACCGAUGGCGAAGGCAAUCCUCUGGACCUGUACUGACGCUCAUGCACGAAAGCGUGGGGAGCAAACAGG
rnacentral:rRNA from 1 species